GAUGAAGAACGUAGUGAAAUGCGAUAAGUAAUGUGAAUUGCAGAAUUCAGUGAAUCAUCGAAUUUUUGAACGCAUAUUGCGCCCUUUGGUAUUCCAAUGGGCACAUCCGUUCGAGCGUCAUUACAACAUUCAGGCCCUGCCUGGUAUUGGGAGCCGCCCGUAAAAGGGCGCUCCUCAAACGCUUCGGCGUCGCCGACCGUCCUCUAGCGCAGCGAGAAACUUAUUUCUAGCGUUAAAAGAGGCGGUCCCCGACCCGCCGAAACCUCUUUACUCUUUCAAUGUUUGACCUCGGAUCGGAUGGGGAUACCCGCUGAACUUAAGCAUAUCAAUAAGCGGAGGA
rnacentral:misc_RNA from 1 species